rnacentral:rRNA from 1 species
UACGUAGGGGGGCAAGCGUUGUCCGGAAUUAUUGGGCGUAAAGAGCGUGUAGGCGGUCCGGUAAGUCAGCUGUGAAAGUCAAGGGCUCAACCCUUGAAAGCCGGUUGAUACUGUCGGGCUAGAGUCCGGAAGAGGCGAGUGGAAUUCCCGGUGUAGCGGUGAAAAUGCGCAGAUAUCGGGAGGAACACCAAUGGCGAAGGCAGCUCGCUGGGACGGUACUGACGCUGAGACGCGAAAGCGUGGGGAGCGAACAGG